GGGAGGAUGGCCGAGCGGCCGAAGGCGGCGGUCUUGAAAACCGCUGGUCCCGCGAGGGGCCCGUGGGUUCGAAUCCCACUCCUCCCGCCA
rnacentral:tRNA from 1 species